rnacentral:rRNA from 1 species
CAUAUCAUAGAGCUUAAAUCAUAAAAUUUAAAUUAAAAUUAUUACUUUCAAAUCCAUCUUCAAAUAUAAAUUUCAUUAUAUAAUCCGCUUAAAUAUAUUUAUUGUAACCCAUUUCUUCUUGUUUAUAAGCUGCACCUUGAUCUGAUUUGAUUUAAAAUUGUAAAUCAUGAAUAUUAAAAUUCUUUUAAAAUAUUCAACUACGACGAUAUACAAACUAAUUAAAACAAGUACAAUUAAUCGUGGACUAUCAAUUACAGAACAGGUUCCUCUGAAUAGACUAAAAUACCGCCAAAAUCUUUAAUUUUAAAGUUCAUAACUAAUAAUAAUUUAACAUAAUUUUUUACAUUUUUA